rnacentral:rRNA from 1 species
CGAAAGCCUGACGGAGCAAUACCGCGUGAGGGAGGAAGGCUCUUGGGUUGUAAACCUCAAAACUUAGGGAAGAAAAAAAUGACGGUACCUAAUCUAAGCAUCGGCUAACUCCGUGCCAGCAGCCGCGGUAAUACGGAGGAUGCAAGCGUUAUCCGGAAUCAUUGGGCGUAAAGCGUCCGCAGGUGGCUCAUCAAGUCUGCUGUUAAAGACUGGAGCUCAACUCCGGAAAGGCAGUGGAAACUGAGAAACUAGAGUUCGGUAGGGGUAGCGGGAAUUCCCAGUGUAGCGGUGAAAUGCGUAGAUAUUGGGAAGAACAUCGGUGGCGAAAGCGCGCUACUGGGCCGAAACUGACACUGAGGGACGAAAGCUAGGGUAGCG